GGAAUUUUGGACAAUGGGCGCAAGCCUGAUCCAGCCAUGCCGCGUGCGGGAAGAAGGCCUUCGGGUUGUAAACCGCUUUUGGCAGGAACGAAACGGCGCGGGCGAAUACCUCGCGCUCAUGACGGUACCUGCAGAAUAAGCACCGGCUACCUACGUGCCAGCAGCCGCGGUAAUACGUAGGGUGCAAGCGUUAAUCGGAAUUACUGGGCGUAAAGCGUGCGCAGGCGGUUGUGCAAGACAGAUGUGAAAUCCCCGGGCUUAACCUGGGAACUGCAUUUGUGACUGUACGGCUGGAGUGCGGCAGAGGGGGAUGGAAUUCCGCGUGUAGCAGUGAAAUGCGUAGAUAUGCGGAGGAACACCGAUGGCGAAGGCAAUCCCCUGGGCCUGCACUGACGCUCAUGCACGAAAGCGUGGGGAGCAAAC
rnacentral:rRNA from 1 species